rnacentral:pre_miRNA from 9 species
UCUCGAUAGCGUAAAAGUUAACUCAAAUUUAUAUGAAGUUGGAACGUUUGCCUACGUUUGCCGCUAAGGGCGUUGUUCCAACUGCAUAGAGAUUUGAGUUAACUUUUACGCGAGCGA